rnacentral:lncRNA from 1 species
GGAAACCUUGGUGGAGAGUCCAGCAUAGGCCCAGAAUCUUGCAAUCCACAUCCAGUUCCAGAAACUGAAUUCCAAGAAGCUACACUGAGGAUAAUUCAGCUCUGAUAUUGUGAUUACUGUGAUGUUCUUUCAUUCAUACAGUCAAAGGUUUAUUACUGGCUUCUCAUACCAGAUAAGUCUCACAGUUCCCAAUAAGGCAACAGAAUCCUCAUCCAACAUAUAUUGACUUGUGGAACCCAACGGCCUGUUUUGGUUUCAUUUCAGCGCAAGUAGAAGGCAAAAUAAAGAGUCUCACAGUAAAAUGUUCAUAGUAGAUAAUAUGUCCUUGAAGGUUGUGCCGUUGUGCUCUUAUUCCACUGAAGAAAUGAUUCACAUCCCAAUUAUAGAUAUGGUCUCCCAAUCAGAGGAGUCUUUUAGAAGACAUUCAUUCAUUCAUUGAACAAAUAUGUGUUGUGUACUUGUCCCAUGCUAGGUAACAGGAAAAUAAUAGUGAUUGAUAAGACAUAGUCCCUGUCCUCAAAGAGCUAACAGUCUAGCAAGGCAGGAACUUUGAGAAAAGACCAAUGUGUUCAAAGGAAAACUCACAACCUGGGUCUCCCUUCUCAGAUGGCACAUUCAAGAAACUGUUGCUUAUGCCCCUGGGAGCCAGAGCCUUACUUAAGUCUUACCAAGUCAAAUAUCUAUCAGCCUCAGAUGAUUUGAGCCUGGUAAAGUCUUAGCAAUAGAUUUGCUGCCUCAUGUUCCCAUGAAAACCUAAUAAGAGAGAGCCCUUUCAACUCAGGCAUACGGGGGGUUUAAGGAUAACAUGUUUAGUGACCAUGUGGACAUUCAGCACAGGUGAGCUUCUCAAGUGAGAGCCAUGUGUCCCCAAAAGAAAGGAGGGUUUAUCCAUAAGACUUUGCUCUCCCUUUCAACACUGUGGUGGGAAGUACUCUGUUACCACCCCAAGUUGGCAUAGCUCGAUUACUUUAAGUUCUCCAAGUCACGAACAGCACAUAGAAAAUGCAGCAAACUCAAGUCAAGACAAUAGAGAGAUAUGCUGAGAACUUAAUACUCAAGCCUUAAUCAGGCACCAGAUGCCAAGAAACCUUCACUCUCAACAAACAACACAAUCCACUAAUUAUCUGUAGAAUUGUUGUAGUUGGUACUCUUCACAUUCACUUACUCCUUAGCAAAGAUUGCUCUUGAAUGGAAAGGUUGCAGAAAGAGCCAAAGCCAAUUUGGAAGAAGUGAGAAACUUACAGGUUUGAGGAAUGGUGAAGUCAGCGAAGGAUCUAGCCUCCUUAGAUGAUGAACAGGCAAAGUCAGAGAAGGAACCACAGUGAGAGAAUUGGCAGAUGCCCCUAAUAAAAUCACACAACUCAGACACACACACAGACACACAAAUAUUCAUGCGUUAUACCCAUUCAAGUAACUGGAUAUUUAAUUCAUUCUAUGCAAUGAACAGUCAAAUGCUGGGAAGGCCCCAUAGUUCUUUGGCCUUCUUGUAAAGCAACAUAUGUCUUUUCUGCAGGAAUGUCUGAGUUGCACAGUCAAGAUCGUUGCUGUUCAUUGUUCUUUUUCUCAGCUCUUUCAGUAACUGUUACUUGACAACACUAAGUUAAACCUUUACAGAAGUGACCAAGCCAGGCAGAAAUAAAAAUGGAUUUGGUU